GGCUGGUCUACAUGCAGUGGUGUUUUACAACUAAUUGAUCACAACCAAGUACAGAUUCCUUUGCUCCAUUUCCAAUCCCAUGGACUCACCUGAUUAACUUAA
rnacentral:Y_RNA from 1 species